CAACUGUCUUCGACAUGUUAAUAGCUUUCUUCCCUCCGGCUUUCAUGCCAGCAAUUAUAGCAUCUCUAUAGGUUUUAAGUUGAGCCAUAUCUGCGCCAUUUACAUUCCAGUCAGGAUCGGUGUUAGGGUAAUGUGUUGCGGCCCAUGCUGCCGGAUUGGCUUGAUUUAAAGCACGGGCUCUCUCCUCCAGCGCCUUAAUGGCCGCUUGGUUAAUC